rnacentral:rRNA from 1 species
UUCGCAAUGCCCGAAAGGGUGACGAACCGACGCCGCGUGCGGGAAGAAGGCCUUCGGGUUGUAAACCGCUGUCGGGAGUUAGGAAGUGCAAGGAUGUUAAUAGCGUCUUUGCUUGACUAAGGCUCCGGAGGAAGCCACGGCUAACUCUGUGCCAGCAGCCGCGGUAAUACAGAGGCGGCAAGCGUUGUUCGGAAUUAUUGGGCGUAAAGAGCACGUAGGCGGCCGUGUAAGUCGGUUGUGAAAGCCUUCCGCUCAACGGGAGAACGGCAUCCGAUACUGCAUGGCUCGAGUGCGGGAGGGGAGAGUGGAACUUCUGGUGGAGCGGUGAAAUGCGUAGAUAUCAGAAGGAACACCGGCGGCGAAGGCGACUCUCUGGCCCGUAACUGACGCUGAGUGUGCGAAAGCUAGGGGAGCAAACGGGAUUAGAUACCCCGGUAGUCCUAGCCGUAAACGAUGGGCACUAAGUAGAGGGGUUUU